GAUGAACGCUGGCGGCGUGCCUAAUACAUGCAAGUCGAGCGAACACACGAGAAGCGUGCUCCUCUAACGUUAGCGGCGGGCGGACGGGUGAGAGGUGGAUAACAUACAUAUAAUACUUGGAUAACUUCGUGAAACCUGAGCCACUAACGGAACAUAUAUGGAACCGCAUGGUUCAAUAGUGAAACAGAGCUUUGAUGUCACUUAUAGAUGGAUCCGCGCCUGAUUAGCUAGUUGGUAAGGGAACGGCCUACCAAGGCAACGAUGCGUAGCCGACAUGAGAGGAUGAACAGCCACACUGGAACUGCGACACGGUCCAGACUCCUACGGGAGGCAGCAGUAGGGAAUCUUCCGCAAUGGGCGAAAGCUUGACGGAGCCACACCGCGUGAGUGACGAAGGUCUUCGGAUCGUAAACCUCUGUUGUUGGGAAAGAAAAAAUGCGUAAGAAACUACCCGCGUCUUGACGGUACCGAAACAGAAAGCCCCGGCUAACUUCGUG
rnacentral:rRNA from 1 species